AUAUAAAGUGGUAUGCAUAUAUAAAACGAUUACACCACCUACAACUAGCCAACUUAUUCGAAAUACAUACACUUGUUUCAAGUUUGAUCACUCUAUUUUGCAUCUUACUGGUGUUUUUUGAGUUUGUGAAGAUGUUUCUCAAUGUGAAAGUUCUUGGUGCUAUGGCAGUAGUAUUCUUGGUUGGAGAUGCAAUUGGUUCUGAAUCUGGUAAUCCAGUUUUUGAUAACCCCUGUAUGAAGGUGUGUCCCACAACAAAAGAAUAUAUUCCUUUUUGUGGCAGUGAUAAUUACACGUAUGGCACAAGCAGUAUCUUAAAUUGCUUCAAAAAGUGUAACGUAUCUGUUACCAAAGCCUAUGACGGACCAUGCGAACAGGAACUUGAAAAUGUCGAAGAAAAUGAAAACGAGGAAGACGAUGAAGAAAACAUUGAAGGCUAUAAUGAAGAUGUCACUACGGCUGGAGCUGAUAAAGCUUCUGAAUCAGAUAGGCGUAGUCCACUUGAAGAGCAUCCUUGUGUAAAGAUGUGCUCAAAAAUGAAGGAUGUACGUCCUUUCUGUGGUAGCGAUAAUUACACCUAUGUCAACAGGAGUUACUUAGGCUGCUUCAAAAAGUGCAAUAUACCUGUUACAAUGGCCUAUGAUGGACCAUGCAAACGCAUACCCAUACAAUGAUUGACGUGUAAAAUGCAUUUCUACAGGAGCCACAAUGGACACUUCUAUCAUAAGAAAAAGUCAAUAGUCUACUACUGUUUGACAAUACAUGCACUACCUGCACUUUUUUCAACAAUCUUGUAAAAGAAGCAUACAUUGCAGUCACUUAGGAUUGCUUAAAUGGACUGUUAUUUAGUUUAAUGAGUUGUAAUAUUCCACUUUUUAUAGAUAUUAUAGUUUAUACACAUUUGGUUUAUCAUUUAAGAUUGUAUUGCGAGUAUUUGAAAAAAUGUAAUAAAUAAACAUUUUCAGCAUUCGAAAUGUUCAUCACCUAAC